rnacentral:rRNA from 1 species
UACGUAGGGCGCAAGCGUUGUCCGGAAUUAUUGGGCGUAAAGAGCUCGUAGGCGGUCUGUCGCGUCGGCUGUGAAAACUCGGGGCUCAACCCCGAGCCUGCAGUCGAUACGGGCAGACUAGAGUGCUGUAGGGGAGACUGGAAUUCCUGGUGUAGCGGUGAAAUGCGCAGAUAUCAGGAGGAACACCGGUGGCGAAGGCGGGUCGCUGGGCAGUAACUGACGCUGAGGAGCGAAAGCGUGGGGAGCGAACAGG